GGCCGAAUAGCUCAGUUCGUUAAGAGCACUAGUAGCACAAUCACUUAGAGGUCCCCAGUUUGAAUCCAGGUUCAGCCA